rnacentral:rRNA from 1 species
GCGACCCCAGGUCAGUCGGGGAUCACCCGCUGAGUUUAA